rnacentral:rRNA from 1 species
UGGGGGAUAGCCCGGCGAAAGCCGGAUUAAUACCGCAUACGAUCUACGGAAGAAAGCGGGGGAUCGCAAGACCUCGCGCUAUAGGGGCGGCCGAUGGCAGAUUAGCUAGUUGGUGGGGUAAAGGCCUACCAAGGCGACGAUCUGUAGCUGGUCUGAGAGGACGACCAGCCACACUGGGACUGAGACACGGCCCAGACUCCUACGGGAGGCAGCAGUGGGGAAUUUUGGACAAUGGGGGAAACCCUGAUCCAGCAAUGCCGCGUGUGUGAAGAAGGCCUUCGGGUUGUAAAGCACUUUUGUCCGGAAAGAAAACUUCCUGGUUAAUACCUGGGGAGGAUGACGGUACCGGAAGAAUAAGCACCGGCUAACUACGUGCCAGCAGCCGCGGUAAUACGUAGGGUGCGAGCGUUAAUCGGAAUUACUGGGCGUAAAGCGUGCGCAGGCGGUUCGUUAAGACAGAUGUGAAAUCCCCGGGCUUAACCUGGGAACUGCACUUGUGACUGGCGAGCCAGAGUAUGGCAGAGGGGGGUAGAAUUCCACGUGUAGCAGUGAAAUGCGUAGAGAUGUGGAGGAAUACCGAUGGCGAAAGCAGCCCCCUGGGCCAAUACUGACGCUCAUGCACGAAAGCGUGGGGAGCAAACAGGAUUAGAUACCCUGGUAGUCCACGCCCUAAACGAUGUCAACUAGUUGUUGGGGAUUCAUUUCCUUUAGUAACGUAGCUAACGCGUGAAGUUGACCGCCUGGGGAGUACGGUCGCAAGAUUAAAACUCAAAGGAAUUGACGGGGACCCGCACAAGCGGUGGAUGAUGUGGAUUAAUUCGAUGCAACGCGAAAAACCUUACCUACCCUUGACAUGGUCGGAACCCUGCUGAAAGGUGGGGGUGCUCGAAAGAGAACCGAUACACAGGUGCUGCAUGGCUGUCGUCAGCUCGUGUCGUGAGAUGUUGGGUUAAGUCCCGCAACGAGCGCAACCCUUGUCCUUAGUUGCUACGCAAGAGCACUCUAAGGAGACUGCCGGUGACAAACCGGAGGAAGGUGGGGAUGACGUCAAGUCCUCAUGGCCCUUAUGGGUAGGGCUUCACACGUCAUACAAUGGUCGGAACAGAGGGCUGCCAACCCGUGAGGGGGAGCUAAUCCCAGAAAACCGAUCGUAGUCCGGAUCGCAGUCUGCAACUCGACUGCGUGAAGCUGGAAUCGCUAGUAAUCGCGGAUCAGCAUGCCGCAGUGAAUACGUUCCCGGGUCUUGUACACACCGCCCGUCACACCAUGGGAGUGGGUUUUACCAGAAGUGGCUAGUCUAACCGCAA